UGUUCGGAAGAAGGGAGGCAGGCAGAGGCUAGAUCUUCGCGGAACCCUCCGGGAUUGGAAGACUGGGUUGGUGGAAUAGAGGGCGGGGGUGCUGCGGUAGAUGGGGCCAAAGGAAGGUGGAAGGUGUCGGAGGAGGAAGGAAAGGGGAUGCCCGGGGGCUGAGGUGGGGGGAGACCACAGGUACGCCGCUUCUGCCAGCUCCGGCGGAGAGACGCAGGCAGAUAGACUCGGAGCGGCAGCGGGUGCUCCUGCUUCGGUGUAGGAGACCGAGUGCGGGAGGCUGGCAGCUCCUGGUCCCACGGGGAGGAGGAGGAGGAGGAGGAGAAGGAGACUGGAGGAGGAGGAGGAGGAAGAGGGCGAGAGCCCUGGAGGGAAAAGGAGCGCGAGCGCCCGCUGCUGCCGAGCUCAGGUGCGGCCAGUCAACGCUGGAGAAGCUCUCUCCGCACAGCCUGGCUGGAGUUCGCUCCGCAAACUGCCUUCUCUUCUCUACUCUCCUCUGCCCUCCUUCUCUCUUUCCCUCUCUCCCUCCCUCCCCAACGCACGUCAAUGGGCGAGCCCGCCCCGCCCACUCGAAGCCGGCGCUCUGGUUUCGGCACCCCCACCCGUCACCCUUCCCGGGACCUACUAGCAGGAAAAGAAAACCAGUGUUCCGUGUCUCCACUUCUGAGAAGGCAGAACUGGAACUCCUGUCCUUGGCUCAGUGCGCUGUGAUCUGUAAGGGCUUGGGAAAGAGGGGAAAGAGAGUUUCUACCUCCCCUUCCCCAGCUUCCCUUAGGAGGGGAAGACCUUCACAAGAGAGAUGCUGCUGUAACUGGGGCCCAGCGCGUUAGAGAGAGAUCCUUCCAAAGUCUCCAGAGCAAAGCCCUGAGCCUGAACCUGCCCAAGGGAAGGGAAGGAAGCGUAAAGGCUGCAAACACUCGCUUUGGGCGGGCAAAGAAGCACCAGUCCAGGGGGCUUUCCAGAAUCCUCUGCUUCUGCCCUGGUCGCUGUACGGUUGUCGCCAUUUAAGAACUCUCUUCCGCCUUGUUCUUUAUAAAACUGGAUUUAUUUAAGCCUGGAUUCUUAUUUGUGGGAAUUCAAAUCGCAGCUUUAAGGACUUCUAAGUCCUGUGUGUGUGUGGUGUGUGUGUGUGUGUGUGUGUAUGUAACUCUUCCUUUUCCAGGAUGGACAUGUGCUUGUGUGCACAAAUUCUGCAGAUUUCCACUAAAGUUGUUAAACUUAAAUUUUAGUAAAACGCUGGGUUUGAGCCCUGGGAAGAAUGCCACUCUAUUAUUAUUAUUUGAGUACACUCACAGGAAGAUCAGGCAAUGUCCACAAGUGGAGCAGUUCAAAAUAUAUGUAUACACGCCUACACAUAUCUUAUGCAUGUGUCAACACAUUUCUAUGUAUAGAUUUAUACAUGUAUGUUUAGAUAUGUCUCAGACCAUAUGUGCAGCUUAUAAAUAUAGAUUUAUCAGACAUUCAGGUAAAUAGGUAUAAGGAGACUUCCAGUAGAUUGGUAAAACUGACAGUAUGGUAUAGCACUAGACUUUAGGAUCCAAGGACCUCAGUUCAAAUUCUCCCUUUGUUAAUUAUAAUUAAUGUGACUGAAUGAAUCACUUGAAAUCUUUGGGGCUAGGUUUCAUUAUACUGUACAAGUUGACUGUAAGGGCUCUUCAUUUUUAUAUCUUGGGCAAGCAAUUUCACCUCACUGGAUAUCAGUUUCCUCAUUUAAAAAUAGGGAUCAGAUUCAUGGUCCCUUCCAACUGUAAUUCCUAUGAUCUAAACUUAAUUAGUUAUAAUUAAUUUGUCCUUUUUAAGGGCAUUAAAGAUAUUCCAUUUGCCAAGAAAUUUCAGUGAGAAAUUUACAAUCUUAACCAGUUCAAAUAGCUACACAAUAAUUUUCUUCCCAGAUCAACAAAAGGCAGGUGUUUCCAUGUUACUAGAUAAGGCUGAGAAUGUGAUACUUUUAUAACUGAAGCUUCAGGACUUUGACAUCAUAAGCUAUUAGGGAUUUCCAUGACCACAGCUAAAUCUUUGCUCUAGGCUAAAUGUUGGCAGAUGAUUCUUCAUAGAAAAUGUGAAUUUAAAAAUUGCUUUAGUCUCAUUUUGAAAACUUCUGGCUUUUCCUUUCCUUUAGCUUUAAGAAGAAGUAAAAUUCCUUCCAUCAUGAAGAGCUCAGAGUUCAGGCACAUGGGAGACAAGUUGUAUAAAGCUAAAUUAUGGUAGUGACCCCUGGGUACCUGUCUUAGAACCACCCUGCAAGGUUGAACUGGCAUCCUUGACAAAUUUAAGAGGAACUGAGUCCAUUAAUACUUUAGGCAUUUUGGAACUGUCCUAAAAAGCUCAAAGUUAUUUCAUAUAUGUGUGUGAUCUUAUCUUUUACAACUAAUAUAUAAAAUAUGGAAAGAGAAAAAUUGUCUCUCCAUUCAUAGACAGUGUUAUAACAAAGCUAAGUGACUUGCCUACCAUCAUGCUAGUUAGUCAUUUCUACAGUUUUAGGCACCUCCCCAAACCCAAUCCUAAUUUUCUGUUGUUCUAUUCAAUAAGCUACACACAUUUUUUUAAAGAGUAAUAAUAAUAAUAAUAUUAACUUUAUGUGUGUUACCCAAAUCAACCAACACUGAGCACUGAUCUAGGAAUCCAGAACUAAGUUCAACCCUUUGGAUGCUAUAUUAUUAUCCUUGUGAUCUAGAAUAAGUUAUUUGACCACUCUGGGCUUUGGUUUCCACAACUAUAAAAUUAGAGAAUUGGGCAAAACCGGAAAAAUCAAUUUACAGAUUAGUCAAGGAUUUUAAGUAUUUUUGAGUUUACUAGAUACCCAUUCCUAUAGGAUAUAAAUUAGUAUUGCAGUCAUAAAAAGCUUGAUCCCUACCCUCAAUGAGUCUACAACUGAUUUAAAAGUUAUAAUACUAUUUUGCAUUUGGUAUAUUAUCCACUAGAGUUCUAUCACUAAUAUCUUUUUUUUAAACCCUUACCUUCAGUCUUGGAGUCAAUACUGUGUAUUGGCUCCAAGGUAGAAGAGCAGGAAGGGCUAUGCAAUGGGGGUCAAGUGACUUGCCCAGGGUCACACAGUUGGGAAGUGUCUGAGGUCAGAUUUGAACCCAAGACCUCCCAUCUCUAGUCCUGACUCUCAAUCCACUAAGCCACCCAGCUGACCCCUCUAUCAGUAAUAUCUUAAAAGUAUGCAGAUGAUCCUAGAUUGUGAAGGUAAUAGAUGGAAAAUAAGCAUUGGCAGUCAAAUAUUACCAGGUUUGAAAGACUUUGAAUCCAGGCCUAGUGAUAGCCUAUUUUGUCUUCUGAGGACAGGCCUAGCUGAUAUUAAAGAGGCUUAUUAAUUAAUUGACUGUAGAGAGGAAAUGUUAGACUACAAUAACUCUCAAGAAACAACUCUGUCAGGUAUCCUUAAUGUGUGUGUGAUGGCCCCCCCUAAAGUAUUUGGUAAAAUCAAUGAACUCAUCAGAAUCAUAUUUUUUAAAAAUGUUAUCUCCAUAUUAUUCAUUCCUGUAAGUGAAUAGUCCCAUAAAACUAAAACCCCCAAAAUAUACCCCAAAUAAACAAUUGAUAAAUCAUAUGUUUUCUUCUUCA
ensembl:lncRNA